rnacentral:rRNA from 1 species
UACAGAGGCGGCAAGCGUUAUUCGGAAUCAUUGGGCUUAAAGCGCGUGUAGGCGGCUUGGUAAGCGUCCCGUGAAAUCUCACUGCUCAACGGUGAAACUGCGGGGCGAACUGCCUGGCUUGAGGUUGGUAGAGGUGCCUGGAACUCUAGGUGGAGCGGUGAAAUGCGUAGAUAUCUAGAGGAACACCAGAGGCGAAAGCGGGGCUCUGGGCCAAUACUGACGCUGAGACGCGAAAGCGUGGGGAGCAAACAGG